GGGCUUGAACCAAUCACAAUACCUAUAUCAGCCUUAAGUAGGCAAAGCAAGUCACCCACUGAACCUCCAAUAUAGACAGUCAACUGCUGGCCAUUAGUAUUGCGGUCCUUCAAUAUGUCAUUGAAAGCUUGAAGCUUUUCCAUUGGACACUCUACCCUCCUAAGAAUUUCACCAGUUGAAAUAGUUUCUUCAUAAGCCAACUCAUUUGAAUGUACUUGCAGAACAUUUAGAUCUCCUGAUGAAAAUGCUGAUCUUAUGAAAUCACCACACCAACAGUAUGAAAGGAUAUGAAUAUCAGUUUUUGAAUUUUCAUUUCUCACAAUCUUUUGGAAAAAACCUCUACAACCAUCUUGAAAAGCAAGUUGUUGACCAGCCUGUUUUAUAUCCUCCAAAUUUAAACCCUUCAAUACUCCUGACUGAAUCACUCUUGAAUUCGCCCUUUUCUCAAAGUCAGCAAGUUGUUCAAGAGCCUUACUCAGAUCUUCAUAACUAAAUUUUUCCACUGUUUCACUAGACAUGAUGCUUUCUAUGCAUUGAUCAUGUUCUUCAACAUACUGGGCUGAAAGAACACCCCAUGUGCUCCUCAAAUCAGCUGAUGACAUCUUAGAGAGUUUGGUUUCAUAUCCACUGAGAUCCAGCUUUGGAGCUGUUAUUAUUGCAAUUUCAGCUAAAACGGCAAAGGAAUCAACAGCAGUGCAUGUCAUGUCAAAAUCACAAAAUAUAGUGAGGUUGAAAUUGGCAGGGCUUUGCACCCGAGACAAAGGCACUAUUGUUUGCUGGACAAUUGGUUGAAUAGAGAAAAAAUCAACUCUAAGUUUCACAGCUUGAAGAUAUAGCCUUUCUAGGACCUCAAGCUCUACGCCUGUCAAAGAGAUGCUUAGUUUAUCCAGCAUGUCUUCUAUUUGCAGAGUUGAUGUCUCAAAGUUUUCAGAACAAUAAUAAUCAACCCACUUCUUGUAAAUGUGACUGCUGUCAUCCGGAUCAAUAAGAUGAUGUAUCUCUUUACAUAUAUGGGCAAAAAGUCUCAUGCAUGGUGCCAUAGCACCAAGUGUGUAAGCAGCAAGUUUUAUCCUCUCAAAAGGAGUUGCAAUUUUACCAGGAACUUUUUCUCCUUCAACUUUCCCUGAGGCUGUUGCUAGCAAGAAAUCUGUAUAUUUGGCAGUGGCAACAAUGGAAUUGCUCUCUGCUGGAAGUUCAAAGCCCCAUUCACGGACAAUAGUUUCGUAGUUUUUAAGCUUGUCUUUGACGCGUUUUCUCAACUUGCGAAUUGCGCUCUUGUCUUCAUCAUCAUCUGCGCAUUCUUCUGCCAGUUCGUACGCCUGAGCGAAUGCUUUGAGGAAAUGGACAUCUUGGGAGACACAAUUGAGGAAAGUGUGAGAGUCCAAAUUACCAGAGGCCAAGCUAAGAAAGAAAGGACUGUACAUAGCAAAAAUCCAGUCG
rnacentral:misc_RNA from 1 species